GACGAACGCUGGCGGCGUGCUUAACAAAUGCAAGUCGAACGGAAAGGCCCUGCUUUUGUGGGGUGCUCGAGUGGCGAACGGGUGAGUCACACGUGCGACACCUGCCCUUGACUUUGGGAUAACUUCCGGACACUGGGGCUAAUACCGGAUAGGAGCUCCUGCUGCAUGGUGGGGGUUGGAAAGCUUCGGCGGUUGGGGCUGGACUCGCGGCUUAUCAGCUUGUUGGUGGGGUAGUGGCUUAACAAGGCUCUGACGGGUCGCCGGCCUGAGAGGGUGACCGGCCACAUUGGGACGGAGGUACGGCCCAGACCCCUCCGGGAGGCAGCAGUGGGGAAUGUUGCACAAGGGGCGGAAGCCUGAUGCAGCAACGCCGCGUGCGGGAUAACGGCCGUCGGGUUGGAAAGCGGUUUCGCCUGUGAUGAAGCGUGAGUGACGGUAAGGGGUAAAGAAGCACCGGCUAACUACGUG
rnacentral:rRNA from 1 species